UUUACGAAUACUAAACAGGUAGACUUAUGCUGCUUUUGGUUUUGAUUAGUUUAUUUUUGAUACCUCAUUUUUAGUUUUAGUGGUACAGCUCAUAUUUUAGUUUGAAUUUUGUAUUUUUAUUGGAAACUUAUUUGUGUAUUUAGAUUGAGUAUACAUAACUGACAUUAUGUUCUAUUAGUUAAAUUUUUAUUCCUUCUACCAAUGGUAGUACGUUUGCGCGUACAAUUAAGCGUUGAAUAUAUGCAUAUUUUUUUUCUAGUGUGCUUAUAUUUUACACCUAACUAGAAAUUAUUUUCAGUAUUUAGGUAUUUUAUUUACUUUAUUGAUUUGAUUAUUUAUAUAUUUUGCUGGCAUUUUGAUUUGUUGGUGUGUCGCUAAUAUUUUCUCCAUAUGUAUCUUUGUCUUACAAACUUUAGAUUAUAUUUUAUAUUUGUUAUUUUUGAUAUUUGGGUUGUUUGGUAAGACAGGCACACACCACAAAGCAAUAUCAGUCCAGAAAAUAAC
rnacentral:lncRNA from 1 species